ensembl:snoRNA SNORD58 Small nucleolar RNA SNORD58
UUGCUGUGAUGACUAUCUUAGGACACCUUUGGAAUCACCAUGAAAGGAAACUUGUUCUGAGCAAC